rnacentral:lncRNA from 1 species
CUCAUGUUAAGAUUCAAACUUUAAAACUUUGACCAAUAAUUAGGCUAAUAAUUUCACUUUAUAUGAUUAGAUUUGUAAGUAAUUACACUAUCCAAUAAUCAUAAGUUCAUAAUCAUAAACAAUAUAACAUAGAGUAAAUAAAUGGUUAAAGUGUAAUCUAGGAGACUGUGUUAUCCCAACAUGUGUCUUAUAAAACUGAAUAGAGGGAGUAAUCAGCUACAAAGUUGUCAAACACGUAGAGAUCUACAAUUUUGAUAUAAAGUCUGUCUUCAUCAAAUACUAUAUGAAAAAUUAUAAUUGUUUUGAGCCAGCUAUGUCUAAAGACAAAUAGCUUAAGAGUAUUGUCUCUGCUAAGAGAUUUGUUAUUGUGCUUGGAUGUGGUUCCUCCGAAAAGAAUUAUCACUAACCAUUGAUCAAGCCAGAAAAAAAGCUUAAUUGUAAUUGAGGAUAUCAUAGUACUUUUACUCUGGCUAUUAACUCUAAUUAACAGUCAUCUUAUUUUGUCACAUGAAUAUGAGAAACACGGCUUAUCAACUAUUGUACGGUGUGUUGAUAAGUUCAAACUAAGAGAGCCGGUCUCACGCCUGCCCUAGGGAUGGGGACGGUGCUCCAAACGAGUACUCAUAGUUCUUCUCUAGUAUAACUAAAUGAACUAAAUGAAAAAAAUAAAAGAAAAAAAUAUUUAUUUAGUUUAUUUAAUUAGAUUAGAGAAGAACCGCAGAUAUCUAUUUAGAGAGUCACCGUCAUCUUUAGUCUGCCCUGGUGCUCGCCUUGGCGCCGGCCGCUCUGAGGCCUGUCUUUCUCAGGGCUCACGGCCACAGGAGCAGGGGCCUCAAGUGGUCGUCACCGCUUGCAGUAGGAUCUGGCC